GAUGAACGCUAGCUACAGGCUUAACACAUGCAAGUCGAGGGGCAGCAUGGUCUUAGCUUGCUAAGGCCGAUGGCGACCGGCGCACGGGUGAGUAACACGUAUCCAACCUGCCGUCUACUCUUGGACAGCCUUCUGAAAGGAAGAUUAAUACAAGAUGGCAUCAUGAGUCCGCAUGUUCACAUGAUUAAAGGUAUUCCGGUAGACGAUGGGGAUGCGUUCCAUUAGAUAGUAGGCGGGGUAACGGCCCACCUAGUCUUCGAUGGAUAGGGGUUCUGAGAGGAAGGUCCCCCACAUUGGAACUGAGACACGGUCCAAACUCCUACGGGAGGCAGCAGUGAGGAAUAUUGGUCAAUGGGCGAGAGCCUGAACCAGCCAAGUAGCGUGAAGGAUGACUGCCCUAUGGGUUGUAAACUUCUUUUAUAAAGGAAUAAAGUCGGGUAUGGAUACCCGUUUGCAUGUACUUUAUGAAUAAGGAUCGGCUAACUCCGUGCCAGCAGCCGCGGUAAUACGGAGGAUCCGAGCGUUAUCCGGAUUUAUUGGGUUUAAAGGGAGCGUAGAUGGAUGUUUAAGUCAGUUGUGAAAGUUUGCGGCUCAACCGUAAAAUUGCAGUUGAUACUGGAUAUCUUGAGUGCAGUUGAGGCAGGCGGAAUUCGUGGUGUAGCGGUGAAAUGCUUAGAUAUCACGAAGAACUCCGAUUGCGAAGGCAGCCUGCUAAGCUGCAACUGACAUUGAGGCUCGAAAGUGUGGGUAUCAAACAGGAUUAGAUACCCUGGUAGUCCACACGGUAAACGAUGAAUACUCGCUGUUUGCGAUAUACUGCAAGCGGCCAAGCGAAAGCGUUAAGUAUUCCACCUGGGGAGUACGCCGGCAACGGUGAAACUCAAAGGAAUUGACGGGGGCCCGCACAAGCGGAGGAACAUGUGGUUUAAUUCGAUGAUACGCGAGGAACCUUACCCGGGCUUAAAUUGCAGAUGAAUUACGGUGAAAGCCGUAAGCCGCAAGGCAUCUGUGAAGGUGCUGCAUGGUUGUCGUCAGCUCGUGCCGUGAGGUGUCGGCUUAAGUGCCAUAACGAGCGCAACCCUUGUUGUCAGUUACUAACAGGUUCCGCUGAGGACUCUGACAAGACUGCCAUCGUAAGAUGUGAGGAAGGUGGGGAUGACGUCAAAUCAGCACGGCCCUUACGUCCGGGGCUACACACGUGUUACAAUGGGGGGUACAGAGGGCCGCUACCACGCGAGUGGAUGCCAAUCCCCAAAACCUCUCUCAGUUCGGACUGGAGUCUGCAACCCGACUCCACGAAGCUGGAUUCGCUAGUAAUCGCGCAUCAGCCACGGCGCGGUGAAUACGUUCCCGGGCCUUGUACACACCGCCCGUCAAGCCAUGGGAGCCGGGGGUACCUGAAGUGCGUAACCGCGAGGAGCGCCCUAGGGUA
rnacentral:rRNA from 1 species